GUGGUUGCCUGUGUCAGAAUCAGGAUCUGGAAUUGAAGAGAAAACUUGGGCAUGGAUUUUGUUCAAAGCAUUUGCGAGUUCAGUUACAUAAUCUACUAAAACAUCAGUUUGAAGUUGCAGUUGUUGGGGAAAAUAGCAACCUAGCCUAGGUGUAGUCCCAAAUAGAAUCUCGUAUGGGGACAAUGAGGUAGUAUUUUUGUACAAGAGCAUUCAUUAGAUCUUUUGAUAAAUGUGCAGGUCUGUGU